rnacentral:tRNA from 1 species
CAGGGAAUAGUUUAAGUAGAACUUCAACUUUGGGUGUUGAUGGUGGGGCUGUAGCUUCUUCCUUGA